CGCUCAAUAGCUAGCCCACCCUAACAAAACCAACAUUACCCCAUCUAUACCCCCUAAAACACUUCAACCCAAAAAACAAACCAUUUUUCCCCCUAAGUAUGGGCGACAGAAAAGGAAUUAAGAGCAAUAGAGAAAGUACCGCAAGGGAAAGCUGAAAGAGAAAUGAAAUAACCCAGUAAAGCCCCAAAAAGCAGAGACUCGCCCUCGUACCUUUUGCAUCAUGAUUUAGCCAGUACCCCCCAAGCAAAAAGAAUUUUAGUUUGACACCCCGAAACUAGAUGAGCUACUCCAAGACAGCCUAACUAUAAGGGCACACCCGUCUCUGUGGCAAAAGAGUGGGAAGAGCUUUGAGUAGAGGUGAUAGACCUACCGAAUCUAGUUAUAGCUGGUUGCCUGUGAAUUGGAUAUGAGUUCAGCCUCUAAAAUUCUUCCCUCAACCUGUCUUUUCCCUGCCUAUCCCUGAGACCAGAAGAAAUCAAGAGAGUUAGUCAAAGGGGGUACAGCCCCUUUGAAACAAGACACAACUUUUCCAGGAGGAUAAAGAUCACAAUCAUCUCAAGGAAAAACGCUGGAGUGGGCCUAAAAGCAGCCAUCCCCGUGGAAAGCGUUAAAGCUCGAGCGUAAACAAACCCCUAUAAUACUGAUAACAAAUCUUAAACCCCUAAACCUACCAGGCCGUCCCAUGCCCCCAUGGGAGCGAUUAUGCUAAUAUGAGUAAUAAGAGAGUACUUACCUCUCUCCCUGCACACGUGUAAAUCGGAACGGACCUCCCACCGAAUCUUAACGGCCCCAAGCGAAGAGGGCACUGAGUAAAAACCCAAACAACAAGAAAAACACCCAACAAUUCUACCGUUAACCCCACACUGGCGUGCACACAGGGAAAGACUAAAAGAAAAAGAAGGAACUCGGCAAAUACACUCAAAGCCUCGCCUGUUUACCAAAAACACCGCCUCUUGAGACCCGACUAUAAGAGGUCCCGCCUGCCCCGUGACCAUGAGUUUAACGGCCGCGGUACUUUGACCGUGCGAAGGUAGCGCAAUCACUUGUCUUUUAAAUGGAGACCUGUAUGAAUGGCAUGACGAGGGCUUAACUGUCUCCUUUUUCCAGUCAAUGAAAUUGAUCUUCCCGUGCAGAAGCGGGAAUAACACCAUAAGACGAGAAGACCCUGUGGAGCUUUAGACACCAAGACAGACCAUGUUAAACACCCCUCCUAAGGGAUUAAACUCAUUGGAUUCCUGCUCUAAUGUCUUUGGUUGGGGCGACCUCGGAGAAACAAAAAACCUCCAUGUGGAAUAGGAGUACUACACUCCCAAAACCAAGAGCCACAGCUCAAAUUAACAGAACUUCUGACCAAUCUUUUUUAAACAGAUCCGGCCACCCACGCCGAUCAACGGACCGAGUUACCCCAGGGAUAACAGCGCAAUCCUCUUUUAGAGCUCAUAUCGACAAGAGGGUUUACGACCUCGAUGUUGGAUCAGGACAUCCUAAUGGUGCAGCCGCUAUUAAGGGUUCGUUUGUUCAACGAUUAAAGUCCUACGUGAUCUGAGUUCAGACCGGAGUAAUCCAGGUCAGUUUCUAUCUAUGUUAUGAUCUUCUCUAGUACGAAAGGACCGAGGAGAGGAGGCCAAUACCCUAAGUACGCCUCACCCCCACCUAAUGAAACCAACUAAAAUAAGUAAGAGGGCAUAAUCCCUCGCUAUAGACAAUAGCAU
rnacentral:rRNA from 1 species